rnacentral:tRNA from 1 species
GACUCCAUGGCCAAGUUGGUUAAGGCGUGCGAAUGUUAAUCGCAAGAUCGUGAGUUCAACCCUCGACACUACGUCG